UUUUUUAAGAGUUUGAUCCUGGCUCAGGAUGAACGCUAGCGGCGUGUCUAAGAUAUGCAAGUCGAACGUCCUUUCCGAUUUAUCGGAAGGGUAGUGGCGGACGGCUGAGUAACACGUAGGAACCUACCCAUCGGUGGGGUAUAACUUCGGGAAACCGAGGGUAAUCCCCCAUAAUAUCCCCGGAUUAAAGGGCAUAACUGCUCGCCGACGGAGGGGCCUGCGGCCUAUCAGGUAGUUGGUAAGGUAACGGCUUACCAAGCCUAUGACGGGUAGCUGACCUCAUGAGGGUGAUCAGCCAGAGGAGGACUGAGAACGGCCUCCACACCUACGGGUGGCAGCAAUCAAGAAUCGUUGGCAAUGGGCGAAAGCCUGACCACGCGACGCCGCGUGCGGGAUGAAGCCUUUCGGGGUGUAAACCGCUGUGGUAGGGGAAGAAGUCCCGAUUUAUCGGGAUUGACGGUACCCUACUAGAAAGUAGCCGCUAACUUCGUGCCAGAAGCGUCGGUGAUACGAAGGCUACAAGCGUUAUCCGGUGUGACUGGGUGUAAAGGGUUCGUAGGCGGUCUAUCAAGUUACUUUUUAAAUAUCUCUGCCCACCAGAGGAAAGGGAAGUAAGACUGUUAGACUGGAGUUAUUUUUAGGGUAAUCGGAAUUAAUAGAGGAGUAGUGAAAUGCGUUGAUACUAUUAGGAACACCAAUGGCGAAGGCAGAUUACUGGAAGAUAACUGACGCUGAGGAACGAAAGCUAGGGGAGCAAACCGGAUUAGAGACCCGGGUAGUCCUAGCCGUAAACGAUGCUCGCUAGUUGCAUUUGCUGUUUUUUUAGCAGUGAGUGUGGCGAAGCUAACGCGUUAAGCGAGCCACCUGGGAAGUACGACCGCAAGGUUGAAACUCAAAGGAAUUGGCGGGGAGACACACAACUAGUGGAUCAUGUGGUUUAAUUCGAUAUGAACCGAAGAACCUUACCAAGGUUUGACAUGCAAUUGCACGCCUCGGGAAACCGAGGAAGCCUUAGAGGGUAUUGCACAGCUGCUGCAUGGCUGUCGUCAGUUCGUUCCGUGAGGAGUGCCCUUAAGUGGGACAACGAACGUAACCCUUGCCCUAUGUUAUAUUUGUCAUAGGGAACUGCCUAGCCGAUGGUUGGGAGGAAGGAGAGGCAGACGUCAAGUCAUCAUGGCGCUUACGCCUUGGGCCACACACAUGAUACAAUGAGAUAGACAAAAGGUAGCCAAACGGUAACGUGGAGCUAAUCCUCUAAACUAUCUCUCAGUGGGGAUAGAGGUCUGAAACUCGACCUCUUGAACAUGGAAUUAGUAGUAAUCGCGGAUCAGCCACGCCGCGGUGAAUACGUUCUUGUCUCUUGCACACACUGCCCGUCAAGCCAACAAAGUCGGGGGUACCUGAAGGCUUACUUUAUGUAGGACGAGGGUAAAAUCGGCGAUGGGGACUAAGUCGUAACAAGGUACCCGUUCUGGAAGGAGCGGGUGAAUCACCUCCUUU
rnacentral:rRNA from 1 species